rnacentral:rRNA from 1 species
CCGAUAGUGAACCAGUACCGUGAGGGAAAGGCGAAAAGAACCCCGGCGAGGGGAGUGAAAAAGAACCUGAAACCGUGUACGUACAAGCAGUGGGAGCAUGCUUAGGCGUGUGACUGCGUACCUUUUGUAUAAUGGGUCAGCGACUUAUAUUCUGUAGCAAGGUUAACCGAAUAGGGGAGCCGAAGGGAAACCGAGUCUUAACUGGGCGUUAAGUUGCAGGGUAUAGACCCGAAACCCGGUGAUCUAGCCAUGGGCAGGUUGAAGGUUGGGUAACACUAACUGGAGGACCGAACCGACUAAUGUUGAAAAAUUAGCGGAUGACUUGUGGCUGGGGGUGAAAGGCCAAUCAAACCGGGAGAUAGCUGGUUCUCCCCGAAAGCUAUUUAGGUAGCGCCUCGUGAACUCAUCUCCGGGGGUAGAGCACUGUUUCGGCAAGGGGGUCAUCCCGACUUACCAACCCGAUGCAAACUGCGAAUACCGGAGAAUGUUAUCACGGGAGACACACGGCGGGUGCUAACGUCCGUCGUGAAGAGGGAAACAACCCAGACCGCCAGCUAAGGUCCCAAAGUCAUGGUUAAGUGGGAAACGAUGUGGGAAGGCCCAGACAGCCAGGAUGUUGGCUUAGAAGCAGCCAUCAUUUAAAGAAAGCGUAAUAGCUCACUGGUCGAGUCGGCCUGCGCGGAAGAUGUAACGGGGCUAAACCAUGCACCGAAGCUGCGGCAGCGACGCUUAUGCGUUGUUGGGUAGGGGAGCGUUCUGUAAGCCUGUGAAGGUGUGCUGUG